rnacentral:rRNA from 1 species
UACGGAGGGAGCUAGCGUUGUUCGGAUAUACUGGGCGUAAAGCGCACGUAGGCGGCGCAGCAAGUCAGGGGUGAAAUCCCGGAGCUCAACUCCGGAACUGCCCUUGAAACUGCAGUGCUAGAAUCCUGGAGAGGCGAGUGGAAUUCCAAGUGUAGAGGUGAAAUUCGUAGAUAUUCGGAAGAACACCAGUGGCGAAGGCGGCUCACUGGCCCGGUACUGACGCUGAGACACGAAAGCGUGGGUAGCAAACAGG